rnacentral:piRNA from 1 species
CAUGGUUCCGGUUGAAUGAAGGCACA